rnacentral:rRNA from 2 species
GGUAUAAUUCGAUGCAACGAGAAGAACCUUACCUACUCUUGACAUCCAGAGAAACUUUCCAGAGAUGGAUUGGUGCCUUCGGGAACUCUGAGACAGGUGCUGCAUGGCUGUCGUCAGCUCGUGUUGUGAAAUGUUGGGUUAAGUCCCGCAACGAGCGCAACCCUUAUCCUUGUUUGCCAGCACGUAAUGGUGGGAACUCCAGGGAGACUGCCGGUGAUAAACCGGAGGAAGGUGGGGACGACGUCAAGUCAUCAUGGCCCUUACGAGUAGGGCUACACACGUGCUACAAUGGCGUAUACAGAGGGCUGCCAACUAGCGAUAGUGAGCGAAUCCCAGAAAGUACGUCGUAGUCCGGAUUGGAGUCUGCAACUCGACUCCAUGAAGUCGGAAUCGCUAGUAAUCGUGAAUCAGAAUGUCACGGUGAAUACGUUCCCGGGCCUUGUACACACCGCCCGUCACACCAUGGGAGUGGGCUGCACCAGAAGUAGAUAGCUUAACCUUCGGGAGGGCGUUUACCACGGUGUGGUUCAUGGCUGGGGUGAAGUCGUAACAAGGUAACCAAGGG